rnacentral:lncRNA from 1 species
GUUCAAGAAUUCACGGCUUGAUUAUUACAACAAUAACUGGGAGAAAAAUCGGAUAAUAUCAUGUAAAUGAAGGGGGAAAUUGAAAAAUAAAAUAUUAGAAUCGGCUGAUUGUGCGUUUCUUUGGAUUGCGUUCACGAGCAGCGAUUUCAUCGGAUCCGUUUAUAUAUUUUUUUAAUUUACUUAUUAAAAUCGAAUUGCGUUCACUAGC